rnacentral:rRNA from 1 species
AAACCAAGAAAUUUAGUCAUUCUUGUACGGUAAAAAGACAGUUAAGCGCAAAGUAAAGGACCAUCGGACGUUUAGUAGAGGAGUAAAAUCUAAAUACUGGAAAUUAUACCGGGUAUGGUUUUGAGAUGCUGAAUCUGUGAAAUCUUUAAGGGAAACUGGGAUUGGAUACCCCAUUAUUUUUAGUUGUAAACUUAGUUUAAACUUACCAGAGUACUACGAAUAAAAAGUUUAAAACUCAAAGGGCUUGGCGGUGUUUUAGACCUCUUAGGGGAACCUGUCUCAUAAUCGACAAUCCACGUUAGACCUGACCCUUUAUGGUAAAACAGCCUGUAUACCGUCGUCGUCAGGUAACUUUUUAAAAUACAGAAGUUAGCCCGAGAAUUAUAUUAAUUAAAACGUCAGAUCAAGGUGCAGCUAAUGAAAGGGGGAGGAUGGGUUACAAUUACAUAUUUGUAAAUACGGAUUAACAUUUGAAAUAAAAUGUUUUAAAGGAGGACUUGAAAGUAAUUUUGAUUAUAUAAACAGAAUGAAUAAGGCUCUGAAACGUG